GAUGAACGCUAGCGGCAGGCUUAAUACAUGCAAGUCGAGGGGCAUCAAGGUACACGAAAGUGUAUUGUUGGCGACCGGCGGACGGGUGAGUAAUAGGUAGGUAACCUACCUCAUACUGAGGCAUAGCUGGGAGAAAUUCCAGGUAAUUCCUCAUGAGGUUAUAUGACACAUGUGAUAUAAUCAAAGGUAUCGCAAGGUACUGGUAUGAGAUGGGCUUACUGACCAUUAGCUAGUUGGUGAGAUAAGAGCUCACCAAGGCGAAGAUGGUUAGGGGUUCUGAGAGAGAGAUCCCCCACAUUGGAACUGAGAUACGGUCCAGACUCCUACGGGAGGCAGCAGUAGGGAAUAUUGGGCAAUGGGCGGAAGCCUGACCCAGCCAUGCCGCGUGAAGGAAGACGGCCUUAUGGGUUGUAAACUUCUUUACUAUGCGACUAACUAGAUUUACGAGAUAAUUCUAUAGAAUGUAGCAUAGCAAAAAGCACC
rnacentral:rRNA from 1 species